GUGGGGCACUCCGCCCCACUACACUGCCCAAUGCAGCUCUGACGCAGAGAAGUCUCUGCGGCCUGGCAUCUGUGGGGCCCUGCCCACCUCCCAGGGGCCAGGCCAAUCUCAGCCAGCGGAAGCUCAGAUGGGCCCCACCAGGCGAGUGGGUCCUGCGGGAGCCCAGCUCAGGAAGGCCCUGCUCCCGCUCCGACCGGGUUGAUCAUGCCACUCCCCAGGGACCAGAGUGACCCCUGCCUUGGUGCCAGCCACAGCCGCACUGCCAGCUCAGCCUGGCAGACACGGUCACCUUCCAGUGGGGCUGAAGGAAAUACUUUGGGGGAAAAGAAUCAGCACCAACAUUUAAAAAGAAACAAACAAACAACUGAAUAGGGAACUGUAGCAAACCAGCACCAGAUCCUACAUUCCUUAAAGCAUCAAAACUCCUGCUGUCUGCAUGGUUUGCCUCCAAACACCAAGCAAGACGUAGCCAGCCUCCUGUUGUAAAUACCUGGAUAUCCAGUCUACAGAGUUUCAACACGGAAUUCAGAAAUCUCUCCUUUUCAGCAGACAUACAAGGAAAGACCGAGAAUGCAAAUGAUAAAUGUAGUGCAUCACCUAAUCUUGUCACGUAAUCAUUCAUCCCAGGAGAAAUACAAAGAACUUAAGUCUGUUGUUUUUGC